UUUUACGAAAUUGUUUUGGCUGGAAAAACUUUUUCGAAAUUUUGGCAAAAAAAAUAUUUUAGAAUAUUUUAGGCAAAAAAAUUAAUAUUUCAUUUUCAUAACCUAUAACAAUUUCCAAAUAAGGGUAAAAUGGUCAUUAAAAAUUUAAAGAGGGUAUAAAUGAAAAUGACAAAUAGGAAAGGGUAUAAUUGAAUAGGGAUAGUGCGGAAAGGGCAUUCUUAGCAAUUAUUCAAGUAUAUAUAGGACUAGUCACAAUGAAUAUUGUUGAAAGAAAAAUUUAGAUAUUAAACCAACACUAAAAUUUUUGAUUUAUUGAAAGAUAGGAAAAUAAAAU
rnacentral:sRNA from 1 species